rnacentral:ncRNA from 1 species
CCCUCUGAGAGUUAUAAGAAAUGAAAGUAGAUUACACUCUGUAUAGUUUUCAAAAUCUGACUCGUAGAACAGGGAA